rnacentral:rRNA from 1 species
UACAGAGGCCUCGAGCGUUGUUCGGAAUUACUGGGCGUAAAGAGAAUGUAGGUGGUCAUGUAAGUCAGAUGUGAAAGCCCUGGGCUUAACCUGGGAAGUGCAUUUGAUACUGCUUGGCUGGAGUGCGAGAGAGGAAAGCGGAAUUCCAGGUGUAGGAGUGAAAUCCGUAGAUAUCUGGAGGAAUACCGAUGGUGAAGCCAGCUUUCUGGCUCGUUACUGACACUGAGAUUCGAAAGCAUGGGUAGCAAACAGG